UACGGGGGGGGGCAAGCGUUGUUCGGAAUUACUGGGCGUAAAGGCUCGUAGGCGGCCAACUAAGUCCGACGUGAAAUCCCCAGGCUUAACCUGGGAACUGCGUCGGAUACUGGAUGGCUUGAAUUCGGGGAGAGGGAUGCAGAAUUCCAGGUGUAGCGGUGAAAUGCGUAGAUAUCGUAAGGAAGACCAGUGGCGAAGGCGGGUCUCUGGACAGUUCCUGGACGCUGA
rnacentral:rRNA from 1 species